rnacentral:rRNA from 1 species
CGUAGUUGAAGUUCUGAUUGUUCGGGCCUCGCGCUUUAUAGCCGAGGAACCGACAGUCAUCCGCUUGCAAAUAUAUGUUCGCCUUUAACCGGGUGGCUAUAUGAGUAAGCAAUUUACCUUGAGAAAAACAGAGUGUUCCAGGCAGGUUUGUCCGGAAUGCAUUAGCAUGGAAUAAUAGAAUAUGACUGAAGUCGAUUUAUUGGUUUAAGGCUUUAGUAAUGAUUAAUAGGAACAGUCGGGGGCAUUGGUACUUGACAGUCAGAGGUGAAAUUCUAGGAUUUGUCAAAGACUAACAAAUGCGAAAGCAUUUGCCAAGGAUGUUUUCAUUAAUCAAGAACGAAAGUUAGGGGAUCAAAGACGAUCAGAUACCGUCCUAGUCUUAACUAUAAACUAUACCGACUCGGAUUCAGAUGAAUCAAAAAGUUCAUUUGGGACCGUAGGAGAAAUC